rnacentral:rRNA from 1 species
CUUANAGGGACAAGUGGCGUUUAGCCACACGAAAUUGAGCAAUAACAGGUCUGUGAUGCCCUUAGAUGUUCGGGGCGCACGCGCGCUACACUGAAGGACUCAGCGUGUGUCUUUCCUGGCCCGGAAGGGCCGGGNAACCCGUUGAACCUCCUUCGUGCUAGGGAUUGGGGCUUGUAAUUCUUCCCCAUGAACGAGGAAUUCCCAGUAANGGCGAG